AUGUAUGGGGUCCUGCUCAGACUUCUGUCAGUGGUCAUAAUUACUAUAUCAGUUUCGUUGAUGCUUAUAGUCGCUUUACCUGGCUUUACCUUAUUAAACGCAAAUCUGAUGUGUUUGAUAUUUUUGUUCAGUUUCAAAAACAUGUUGAACGUCUUCUCAAGCACAAAAUUGUUCAUGUCCAGUCGGACUGGGGGGGGGGGGCGAGUAUCGCAACCUCAACUCCUUCUUUCAGUCGCUUGGGAUAGCUCAUCGUUUAGCAUGUCCACAUACACAUCAGCAGAAUGGUUCAGUCGAACGUAA
rnacentral:rRNA from 1 species